CUUCCUCGCACUGCUGCGGGCAGAUGAAAUGAAUAUGCGUGUCUAUGCCGCCCGCGGUGACGAUGCGGCCUUCGCCGGCGAUGAUCUCCGUGCCCGGUCCGAUGAUGAUAUCGACGCCGGGCUGAACAUCGGGAUUGCCGGCCUUGCCGAUGCGCGCGAUGCGCCCGUUGACGAUGCCGAUAUCGGCUUUGACGAUGCCCCAAUGAUCGAGGAUCACGGCGUUGGUGAUGACGGUGUCGACCGCGCCUUCCGCAUUGGAGCGUUGGCUCUGGCCCAUGCCGUCGCGGAUG
rnacentral:sRNA from 1 species